GGGCGGUUAGCUCAGUUGGUUAGAGCGCCACUUUGACGCAGUGGAGGCCAGAGGUUCGAAUCCUCUACCGCCCA
rnacentral:tRNA from 2 species